AAACUUUCAACAACGGAUCCCUUGGCUCUGACUUCGAUGAAGAGCGCAGCGAAACGCGAUAAGUGAUGCGAAUCGUAGAUUUCCAGUGAGGCAUCGAAUUCUUGAACGCACAUGGCGCCCUUUGGCAUUCCGAAGGGCAUGCUUCUUCGAGCGUCAGUA
rnacentral:rRNA from 1 species